AGACGCGUGUGUGAAAACAAUUGGAAAAAGAAAUAACAGUUGAAAUUAGGAAUACUUUACUUUAUGUACUUUUUCAAGAAUUAUGUAUGUACUUUUGAGAUAUAAAAGAUAUUUCGUUCAUAAAUAUAUUGCACCAAAAGUAUAAAAAUAUAAAAUAUAUAUAUAAUAAACUGACUAUGAUAUUCGAAAUUAACCUCGUAUAUCGUCCAAUUGAAGAGCUUUGACAGAUGAAAUAACAUCGGUUGCCCAACAUCGUCUUUCAAACGAAGCAGCAAAUGUCAAUUCCUGCGGAAAGGUUCAUCGUGCAUCCGACUGCAACGGCACGAAAUUGCGACGUAUCUGUCUCCGAGGACCAAGCUCGGGAACAAUGCGACGAUCACGCAUCAAUUUGCUCGUGCAACCGUUUCGAAUAACCCCCUUACGCCGCGUACAGAAUCGGCAACUAAUCCAGCAUUGUGUGUUGAGCAUGAUGCGAUUAUCGCGUUAUAUCAUGGGGGAACGUCGAGCUGUGAAAGCGUCGUUGAACCUUCGACCAGAACUACACACGGUUCAAAAAUAAGCUGUAAGCCAAACUUUCAUUCCAACGUUUAUCGUCUAUAAAUGAAAUCCAAUAUUUUGAGAGGUUUCAAUUUUCAACGUGGACUAAUAAUGUAAAGUGUAUAAUGUGCAAUAAAUUGUGAUUUUGUUCGUUAAUCGUUUUAUUGCCGACUUCGUAAAAAUGAAUUCGAGGUUAGGAAUUUUCUGCGUUUGUGUUGUAUUUCGAACAGUUUACAAGUAAACUUUUGUUGUAAAUAAAUACAAUAAAUAUGCAAAUUA